rnacentral:rRNA from 1 species
AUUGAACGCUGGCGGCAUGCCUUACACAUGCAAGUCGAACGGCAGCGGGCCUUCGGGUGCCGGCGAGUGGCGAACGGGUGAGUAAUGCAUCGGAACGUGCCAUUGAGUGGGGGAUAACGUAGCGAAAGUUACGCUAAUACCGCAUAUUCUGUGAGCAGGAAAGCAGGGGACCGCAAGGCCUUGCGCUCUUUGAGCGGCCGAUGUCAGAUUAGCUAGUUGGUGAGGUAAAAGGCUUACCAAGGCGACGAUCUGUAGCGGGUCUGAGAGGAUGAUCCGCCACACUGGAACUGAGACACGGUCCAGACUCCUACGGGAGGCAGCAGUGGGGAAUUUUGGACAAUGGCGCAAGCCUGAUCCAGCCAUGCCGCGUGAGUGAAGAAGGCCUGG